UACGGAGGGUGCAAGCGUUGUUCGGAAUUAUUGAGCGUAAAGGGCGCGUAGGCGGUAAUGAAAGUCAGAUGUGAAAUACUUCAGCUCAACUGAAGAACUGCAUCUGAAACUUCAUAACUAGAGUACGGAAGAGGGAAAUGGAAUUCCCGGUGUAGAGGUGAAAUUCGUAGAUAUCGGGAGGAACACCAGUGGCGAAGGCGAUUUCCUGGUCUGGUACUGACGCUGAGGCGCGAAAGUGUGGGGAGCAAACAGGAUUAGAUACCCUGGUAGUCCACACUGUAAACGGUGAACACUAGGUGUGGGAGGUGUAAUACCUUCUGUGCCGCAGUUAACGCGUUAAGUGUUCCGCCUGGGAAGUACGGCCGCAAGGUUGAA
rnacentral:rRNA from 1 species